GCCUGGAUAGCGCAGUUGGUUAGCGCGUCAGUCUCAUAAUCUGAAGGUCGCGAGUUCGAGCCUCGCUCCGGGCA
rnacentral:tRNA from 1 species